GGCCCUUUGGAAGAGCCGUUGAUCUCUAGAAUUCUUCUACUCUGUCAGAAUUAACUUGGAACAUUGUACUCUGACUUCGAGAAACUCAAGUAUUCAUACUGCAUCUGCAUCUGUUAUUCAUCACUCCAGAAGUUUUCUACAAUAAAUCUGUGCGUUGAAGCCACACAUCCUUUGAAAAUGCAAAUUUAAUUGAACGUCUUCCAUUUAAACAACAUUCAUCGUUUUCGGAAUCCGAAAAACUAAAGUCGAACGACUUUAGACUAGUAGAAAAUUACAAUAGUGAUGAAGAUGGAGCAGAAAACGAUAUUUAUGUUUCAGAAGUAUUUGGACUAUUAAGUGGUUAUUCUAACCAAGAAGACGACGAAGUUAAUGAGCUUAUGACCGAAACUCAGAAUCAGUCUUAUCAUCCGGAAACACGGAAAUUUUGUCAAAUUUGAAUGAUAACAUGCUAGACUAUAAUAAAAACACUGCAGGAAUAAGGCGGUGGAUCUAUUACCUGAGAGAGGAAUUUAUAUUCACAGAACCUUUCUGAAAGAAGCUAAGCUAACUUCCUCGCAGCAAGCGCCUUUUGCUAGAAAGUUGUUGUGUGCCAUAUUUAAGAAAGAGGCAAUACAAAUAUGUUCUCUUACUGGAAAAGGGAGAAAAUUAGAAGAUAAAAAACCUCGUCUAAAUAAGAAAGCUGUGGCUCUAAUAUUAUGUAAGAUUUCGUUGUUCAUAUUGUAGAUUAUUAACUUACCUAAAGGACUUGUUUAA